UUCAUUCACUACUGUAAGUCACUCUGGAUAAGAGCGUCUGCUAAAUGACUAAAA
rfam:Salmo salar isolate Sally breed double haploid chromosome ssa08, whole genome shotgun sequence.